GCCUGGGCGGCUCCUGGCCUCCAGCAAAGUUCAGACUAACCCCCAGCCCGCUCCCGGCGCCGCCCGGGGUGGAUUGGGGCAGGUCCCUUUGCCUUCUCCAUUUCCGAAGGUGGGUGUGAUUCACCCUGCCUUAUGUAAAACCCUGGGGAGCUCUCCGAGCCACUGAGGAGGUGACUCCAGCCGGGUUAGAAGAACCAUCUGUAGCAAACAACUUUGAACCGACACCUUUCUCGAGCACGCUCACCACUCUGGUCACUGUGGGCUGUGCGCUUUGAGCCACUUUUGGGUCCAAUCCACCAUAAAGGCUCUUGGGUAAGAAUCGGCUCUCCCUCUUACCUCUCUGCGUGAGACCCUGUCCCAGAUCUGAACCAAGAUUUCCCAGUUCUGUGAAAAAUGCCAAAAUGGAGCUGGAAGAAUCAGGCUCUCUGACUUCAGACUAUACUACAGGGCUACAGUAAUCAAGACAGUAUGGUACUGGCACAAAAACAGAAAUAUAGAUCAAUGGAACAGGAUAGAAAGCCCAGAGGUAAACCCACGCACCUAUGGUCACCUAAUUUAUGACAAAGGAGGCCAGAAUAUACAAUGGAGCAAAGACAGCCUCUUCAAUAAGUGGUGCUGGGAAAACUGGACAGCUACAUGUAAAAGAAUGAAAUUAGGACACUCCCUAACACCAUACACAAAAAUAAACUCAAAAUGAAUUAAAGACCUAAAUGUAAGGCCAGACACUGUAAAACUCUUAGAGGAAAACAUAGGCAGAACACU